GGGACGAAGAGGAUGGCAAUCAAGAAGCCCCUCUGAGUAGACGGCAGCGUGUGGAUCCUGAUGGGGAGGUGGAGUUCAUCAGGAUGCCUGGACUUGAGGAUUUAGAGAGUUUAAUCAGUCACAUAACCUGUGGAUUUGCUGGGAGAAUCGUCAGAUACUCCCUCAGUCCUCCAGGUUGUUGAGCCAAUCCUGUCGCAGCUACCCACAGAAACUCACUCCACAUCUUCAGCUGUUGUUCUGCCCCUCAGUGCUGGUGAGCUGAACAGCACCUGCUGUAAUGUUGAGUACAACACUGCAGACUCCUCCAACUCCCAGUCUGGG